rnacentral:rRNA from 1 species
GGAUACACUUAGUGGCGGACGGGUGAGUAACGCGUGGGUACCUGCCUCACACUGGGGGAUAACAGUUAGAAAUAGCUGCUAAUACCGCAUAAGUCCGCAUGGAAAAAACUCCGGUGGUGUGAGAUGGACCCGCGUCUGAUUAGCCAGUUGGCGGGGUAACGGCCCACCAAAGCGACGAUCAGUAGCCGGCCUGAGAGGGUGAACGGCCACAUUGGGACUGAGACACGGCCCAAACUCCUACGGGAGGCAGCAGUGGGGAAUAUUGCACAAUGGGGGAAACCCUGAUGCAGCGACGCCGCGUGAGUGAAGAAGUAUUUCGGUAUGUAAAGCUCUAUCAGCAGGGAAGAUAUGACGGUACCUGACUAAGAAGCCCCGGCUAACUACGUGCCAGCAGCCGCGGUAAUACGUAGGGGGCAAGCGUUAUCCGGAUUUACUGGGUGUAAAGGGAGCGUAGACGGCAUGGCAAGUCUGAAGUGAAAGCCCGGGGCUCAACCCCGGGACUGCUUUGGAAACUGUCAAGCUAGAGUGCAGGAGAGGUAAGUGGAAUUCCUAGUGUAGCGGUGAAAUGCGUAGAUAUUAGGAGGAACACCAGUGGCGAAGGCGGCUUACUGGACUGUAACUGACGUUG